UACAGAGGUCCCAAGCGUUGUUCGGAUUCAUUGGGCGUAAAGGGUGCGUAGGCGGUGUCGCAAGUCAGGUGUGAAAUCUCGGGGCUUAACCCCGAAACUGCAUUUGAUACUGCGGUGCUCGAGGACUGGAGAGGAGACUGGAAUUCACGGUGUAGCAGUGAAAUGCGUAGAUAUCGUGAGGAAGGCCAGUGGCGAAGGCGAGUCUCUGGACAGUUCCUGACGCUGAGGCACGAAGGCCAGGGGAGCAAACGGG
rnacentral:rRNA from 1 species